rnacentral:lncRNA from 1 species
GGAGGCAGAGGAUGAUGAGGUAAGUAUCGUGCAAAGUUUUCGACUCGACAAGUCCUUCUGGGGUAGCGACUCUUGACGAGUCAUGCCGUGCCGAUCUAGUCGAGGUGUCUGAGUCGACUUCUAGUUACGACUCAUCGACUAGUCGUGACUAUUCGUUUGACUCAAAAAAGGGGUAUCAAGCAAGCAGUGAGGGUGCAUUUCCCUUUUUUGGACACACACACAAGUUACUUUUUUCAUGCAUCCUUUAGGUUGGUGACCCAUUCCUCUUCGUGAAACGGCGGAAACGGAAGGCGACCACGCAGGUUGGAGUUGUAGCUGGAGUUGGCACAUCGUCUGCAGCAGCUGCCGAGGUAACAUAAAAUGGCAUUAGGAUUUUUUUUCCUACACAAAGAAACCUGGGAUAUUAUUUUUUACGCAGUUGCACAAGAACCAGCUAGGUGUUGGCAUCCUGAAACUUUUAUAGUUGUACAAAAAUCAAUUAAGAGUUGGUAUCCUCAAGUUUUCAAAUAGUUGCACAACAGUAUCACACGAGUUGGCAUCCUCGACUUUCAUAGUUGCACCAGAACCAAUUGGGAGUUGGCAGUCUCAACUUUUUGAAUAGUCACAUAACAAUAUCACAUGAGUUGGCAUCCGCAACUAUUUUAGUUGCAUAAGGGAGUUGGCAUCACCAAUUUUUUAAUAGUUGCGCAACAGUGUCACAUGAGUUGGCAUCUUCAACUUCUUUAGUUGCACAAGAACCAUUCAGUAGUUGGCAUCCUCAUGUGUUCACAUGCAUAUGAUUUUCUAGGUUUACAAAUGCACUUGACUAUAGUUGCACUACUUAUUUGGAAGAUUAUAAUCUGUUAAAUUCACUAUUUUAUCUAUUUUCUUGUGUUUAGAUAGGCUAAAUUCAUCAUGUUCCUCAGUUCAAAAUUCAUUACAUAGCUGCAUAAACACGCAACAUGAUUUGCAUGCAGGAGUACUUGCAGUUGCACAAAAUAGAUGAUGUAGUUGCACAACAGCCAACAUAAAGUUUAUUUUUGGAAUUCUGCAUACAGAUUUUUAGCUAAAACCAAAAUGAAUCUGAAAUUAUCAGAGUUGGCAUCUUUUACUUUUAUAUGAGUUGAAGAUGCCAACUAAUGAAAUUCAAACCCCAUAAGUGGAUGGAUAUGGGAGUGUUGUCGGUUGCACACUUGUACUCGUUAAGUUGCAUAAAUACAAGCUGGCGUUGGUUCAUUUUUUUCUCAAGCUUCUUUUUUUGCAUCAUGUGCAGGUUUUACAGGCUAUGGGGGUGCAUGAACUGAUGUAGAUUUUUGCACACAAUUCUAAGCUACAAAGUCACAUAUACUACUGUGUGGAAAGAUCAAAGGAAAAAAACACAUAUACUUCUUGUCUAGUUGGUAGUUAUAUUUUCAUUGUACCUACAAUAUGCUUUUUUCUUUUCUUUUUUUGCUACAGUGACACUGGUUCUUCUGCAUUAUGUGUGAAAUAAGACUCUAUAUGUGCUAUCUUAUAUAUAUAUUUGCAUAUUUUCUGUGUUUUGUUGCACACAUUGCUGCAAAAGUUGACUUGUCUUAUGAUCUAGUUGCACAAUAAUUAGUUAAAAUUGCACAGGUACCGGAUCUCCCUAUUUUUUAUCCUUGUUUGUGUUGUCUUUUAAGUAUGGAGAAGCUAUUUUUCAAAGAGAAAUUUGGUGUGGGGGUGAAAGGGAAAGUGAAGGAGUGAGGAUCUGGACAUGAGGAGAAGGAUCAACCUCUUUUUUCACCCUUGUUGGUGCUGCCUGGUACUUUCUAAUCUGUCCUCCCUCUUUCUUCUUUUUUUCGCAGCAAAUUGUUCCAUAGCAUUGUUAUUUCACCUUGAUUCAUCUGCCAUGGCAGCUCUGGCGAUGGAGAUCCAGAACUGGGAACCCCUUGUUUCGUG